rnacentral:rRNA from 1 species
CAAAUCUGGAGAUAGCUGGUUCUCCCCGAAAACUAUUGAGGUAGUGCCUCGUGUAUUGCUCCAGGGGGUAGAGCACUGUUAUGGCUAGGGGGACAUGGCGUCUUACCAAACCAUGGCAAACUCCGAAUACUUGGAAGUAAGAGCACGGGAGACAGAGCACCGGGUGCUAACGUCCGGACUCAAGAGGGAAACAACCCAGACCGCCGUUUAAGGUCCCAAAUAUUGACUAAGUGGAAAACGAAGUGUGAAGGCUAAGACAGUCAGGAAGUUGGCUUAGAAGCAGCCAUCCUUCAAAGAAAGCGUAAUAGCUCACUGAUCGAGUCCUCAUGCGCGGAAGAUGUAACGGGGCUAAGUCAAUAACCGAAAGCGCGGAUUUGUACGGAAGUACAAGUGGUAGGGGAGCGUUCUGUAAGCCUGCGAAGGUGGUUCGAGAGGACUGCUGGAGGUAUCAGAAGUGCGAAUGCUGACAUGAGUAACGUUAAAGCGGGUGAAAAGCCCGCUCGCCGUAAGCCCAAGGUUUCCUGCUCUACGUUCAUCGGAGCAGGGUGAGUCGGCCCCUAAGGCCAGGCUGAGAAGCGUAGUCGAUGGGAAGCAGAUUAAUAUUUCUGCACCAUGUGCAAGUGCGAUGGGGGGACGGAGUGCGAAAGAUCAUCCGGGUGUUGGAUGUCCCGGUUUGUGAGUGUAGAAGGCCGACAGGCAAAUCCGUCGGCAGAUCUUCGAGACAAAGCAUCGAGGUUCUACGGAACCGAAGUGAUCGGAAGUGCUUCCAGGAAAAGCCUCUAAGCUCCAGCUUGCAUGUGACCGUACCGUAAACCGACACUGGUGGGCGAGUUGAAUAUACUCAGGCGCUUGAGAGAACUCGGGAGAAGGAACUCGGCAAAUUGACACCGUAACUUCGGGAUAAGGUGUGCCUUUGUAGCGUGAAGAGAGAAACACUCGGAGCGUGAAGAGGCCUCAGAGAAUCGGUGGCUGCAACUGUUUAUUAAAAACACAGCACUCUGCAAAGACGAAAGUCGACGUAUAGGGUGUGAUGCCUGCCCGGUGCUGGAAGAUUAAGUGAUGGGGUGAGAGCUCCUGAUCGAAGUCCCAGUAAACGGCGGCCGUAACUAUAACGGUCCUAAGGUAGCGAAAUUCCUUGUC